CAGUAGCCGCGGUAAUACGGAGGGUGCAAGCGUUAAUCGGAAUUACUGGGCGUAAAGCGCACGCAGGCGGUCUGUCAAGUCAGAUGUGAAAUCCCCGGGCUUAACCUGGGAACUGCAUUUGAAACUGGCAGGCUAGAGUCUUGUAGAGGGGGGUAGAAUUCCAGGUGUAGCGGUGAAAUGCGUAGAGAUCUGGAGGAAUACCGGUGGCGAAGGCGGCCCCCUGGACAAAGACUGACGCUCAGGUGCGAAAGCGUGGGGAGCAAACAGGAUUAGAUACCCGCGUAGUCCCUGUCUCUUAUAC
rnacentral:rRNA from 1 species